AAUGAACGCUGGCGGCGUGCCUAAUACAUGCAAGUCGAGCGAACAGACGAGGAGCUUGCUCCUCUGACGUUAGCGGCGGACGGGUGAGUAACACGUGGAUAACCUACCUAUAAGACUGGGAUAACUUCGGGAAACCGGAGCUAAUACCGGAUAAUAUAUUGAACCGCAUGGUUCAAUAGUGAAAGACGGUUUUGCUGUCACUUAUAGAUGGAUCCGCGCCGCAUUAGCUAGUUGGUAAGGUAACGGCUUACCAAGGCAACGAUGCGUAGCCGACCUGAGAGGGUGAUCGGCCACCCUGGAACUGAGACACGGUCCACACUCCUACGGUAGGCAGCAGUAGGGAAUCUUCCGCAAUGGGCGAGAGCCUGACGGAGCAACGCCGCGUGAGUGAUGAAGGUCUUCGGAUCGUAAAACUCUGUUAUUAGGGAAGAACAAAUGUGUAAGUAACUAUGCACGUCUUGACGGUACCGAAUCAGAAAGCCACGGCUAACUACGUG
rnacentral:rRNA from 1 species